AUUCACCUGGGUAUGGUACACUUUACUCCUUUAUAACACUAUCACCUUCUUCUCUAUAUUCACCUGGGGUGGGCUGACUCUCUUCUCCAUGGAGAGGCUAAAGAGUGUGUCCUUCCAAGAGGAAUACCAGAAGCUGUUCACCCCUCAGCCCCCCAUCCCACUAAUAUAAUCUGUGUUCUUCUAAUAACCUUCCAGCUCCCUUUGCUUUUAAAACUGCAGUCUGCAAUUACAACUUUUCACCCCCAGCCCCCCAUCCCACUAAUAUAAUAUAAUGUGUUGUUCUAGUAGGAAACCUAUAUCUCCAAUCCCUCUGCAGCUAACCUCCUUAUUGCUUCUCGUCACACGCUGCUGUGACUGUGAUAUCUCUGUAUCACACACAGACACACACACACACACGCAAACACACAGAUACACACAGUGUAGGCAGGCAUCUACGGUAGGCUACCUCCACCAUUUUGUGAAAGGUUGGCGAAUUAGUUUGGGGUCUUUAUAACUCAAAAGCCUUUAAAAUGCUUUAACUAUUCAAUAAAUAUACACAUUUAGUGAAAAUAAAUGUUUAUCACAUUUACUGCAUA